AUGACGAACCAGGCUGUUGCCACGGUGACGGUGGUGGUGGGCAUGAUACAGAUGCGGGAGCUGGAGUUUGUGCCCGAUAGAGACAUGCAGCUGGACAAAUUGUGUUGGUCAUUGGUCAGACUGGAGUUUACAUGUGUACCUCCUUCACCAUCAUUGGUGGACACUUCACCAUGAGUGAUGCUUGAGCUGUCACGGUGCUGCUGCUGCUGUCUGCCAUCAUCACCCUGACACAGACCACCCUGCAGACCACCUUCAUCCUGGGUGCCACACGUCACUGCUGCUACAACUCAGAGCAACUGGAGCGCAAGCCAGGAAGGGAGAUGGUAACUCCUCACUUAAUUUGUUGUUUAUUUGAGGGCCUAAUGACAGACACAUAAUGGAAUGAGUAUUUGUGAAUGUUUGUUUAUAUCUAGAUACAGCAUUCACAUAUCUUAAGUGCCACCUUCCAAAAACAAUGUCAGCCAGAAAAAUAACUGAUGAAUCUAAUUACAUUUCAAGUCAAAAGUUUUCCUUUAACCACUUUGCUCCAGAUGCUUAAAAACAUGCGUUGCUCACAUACAUGGCGUCGCGUAGGCUCGUGAGUGGUAACUUAUCUAAUUUCUAAUAAUUUCUAAUAUAAUUUCUGUGUGUGUGUGUGUGUGUGUGUGUGUGUGUGUGUGUGUGUGUGUGUGUGUGUGUGUGUGUGUUUUAUGUAUGAGUGACACUGGCCAAGGGCAACAAAAAUCCAAUAAAAAAAUAUGCCCACUGAAAUGUCAGUCCCAUAAAAGGGUCAAAGCAGUGGUCAAAAGUUGAUGAAUAAGUGUCUUGAAACCUCCCUCUUGAAGGAAUUCAAGUCAUAGGAAGGUGGAAAUACAGAAGCAGGCAGGGAGUUCCAGAGUUUACCAGAGAAUGGGAUGAAUGAUUGAGAAUACUUGUUAACUCUUGCAUUAGAGAAGUGGACAGAAUAGGGGUGAGAGAAAGAAGAAAAUCUUGUGCAGCGAGGCCAUGGAAGGAGGGGAGGCAUGCAGUUAGCAAGAUCAGAAGAGCAGUUAGCAUGAAAAUAGCGGUAGAAGACAGCUAGAUAUGCAACAUUGCGGCGGUGAGAGAGAGGCUGAAGACAGUCAGUUAUGUUUUGUGUGUGUGUGUGUGUGUGUGUGUGUGUGUGUGUGUGUGUGUGUGUGUGUGUGUGUGUGUGCGCUGAUGCAGCUGAGAAGGUUGCCUUAUGAUAAUUAUUGACAAAUGAAGGUAAUGGAUGCGCAUGUCAUUACUACUUUUUUAAGUGUGUGUGUAUGUGUGUGUGUUAUGUACACACACACACACACACACACACACACACACACACACACACACACACACACACACAAAGAGAAGUAAUAGACACGCAUCCUUUACCUUCAUUCACCAAUAAUUGUCAUUAGACGACCUUCCCAGCUGCAUCAUUACACACACACACACACACACACACACACACACAUACACACUUACACACCACGUAGUGUAGUGGUUAGCACACUCGGCUCACAACCAAGAAGGCCCAGGUUCGAAUCCCGGGCACGGUGAGGCAGAUGGACAAGCCUCUUAAUGUGUAGCCCCAGUUCACCUAGCUACAACAAGGUACAGGAUGUAACCCGAGGUGAUGUGACUUCGCUGCCCCGGUGGGUGGUGUGUCAUUGGCCUCAGUCCUACCCAGAGAUCAGUCACCAUGAGCUCUGAGCUCUUACACACACACACACACACACACACACACACACACACACACAGAGAGAGAGAGAGAGAGAGAGAGAGAGAGAGAGAGAGAGAGAGAGAGAGAGAGAGAGAGAGAGAGAGAGAGAGAGCAAAAUGGCAAUGAAUGAAACAGGGAGGAGGGGGAACUGUGUGUGAAUGAAAACAUCAUCUAUGUGAAACAUUUGGUUGAUUAUAAAGCACAUGUGCAUCAUAUAUAGUCAUGAAUGUGGAGGAACAGCGGAGUGAGUGAUCAACCACAGAAAGGAGAGAGUUGGACAUGCGGAGAGAAUGGAAGGGGAACAAUUUGAGAAGAUAAGCAUGCAAAUAUAUAAAUGUAAGGUGGAAUAACAGUGUUUGGUGGGAAGAUGAAAGAGAGAUGUCUGUUUAUGAAGCAAAAUGGUUGUGCAAGAGAGGAAUGAUUGGAAAACCAUUCCCACCAUAGCCAACAGACCUUACACCAUAUUUUUACAAACCACAGCAUCUCUAUUCAUCCAUUCUGUGUGUCUUCUCUUCUCUCUCUCUCUCUCCACUCUUAAUGCUGUUGUGGGUCUCUGGGCUGGAGUACAUCAGAGAAAGAUUGACACAGACUUAUAUAUGAGAGGAUGUUGUCUGUAACUAUGCUAUGGGGACAUUGCAAGUUUGUGGGGUGUAGUGAAUGAAUAAGUGUGUCCUCUAUAGCAUACUUAAAAACCACACUCUCACAUGGAAAUCAAUCUCUCUCUCUCUCUCUCUCUCUCUCUCUCUCUCUCUCUCUCUCUCUCUCUCUCUCUCUCUCUCUCUCUCUCUCUCUCUCUCUCUCUCUCUCUCUCUCUCUCUCUCUCUGUCUGUCUGUCUGUCUGUCUGUCUGUCUGUCUCUCUGUCUCUCUCUCUCUCUCUCUCUCUCUCUCUCUCUCUCUCUCUCUCUCUCUCUCUCUCUCUCUCUCUCUCUCUCUCUCUCUCUCUCUCUCUGUCUGUCUGUCUGUCUGUCUGUCUGUCUGUCUGUCUGUCUGUCUGUCUGUCUGUCUGUCUGUCUCUCUCUCUCUCUCUCUCUCUCUCUCUCUCUCUCUCUCUCUCUCUCUCUCUCUCUCUCUCUCUCUCUCUCUCUCUCUCUCUCUCUCUCUCUCUCUCUCUCUCUCUCUCUCUCUCUCUCUCUGUCUGUCUGUCUGUCUGUCUCUCUCUCUCUCUCUCUCUCUCUCUCUCUCUCUCUCUCUCUCUCUCUCUCUCUCUCUCUCUCUCUCUCUCUCUCUCUCUCUCUCUCUCUCUCUCUCUCUCUCUAACUUUUCUUAAAUCUUACUAAAAUGUAUGCGGAUCACUUUCUGAUUUCAUCCCAGUGGCACACAAACCAAAAUACCUGAGUAUGGAGAUGGCUGGACUACCUCCUUUGGCCACCCCUGUUAUAUCUUAAUUUCCCACUGUCUUUCCUGUGUACUGGUUAAGCUACUCACUGCUGAAGUCCCUGGAAACUAGGUAGAAUAAUUUAGAAUGACAUGGUUAAGUUAAUGCUGAUAAAAUCUCAUUUGUAAUAUUCAGGAAGAUUGAAUUAUUCUUCCUCUGUUGAAGCAAAUGAUAUAACAUUGACUAGAAGCUUUCACAAUAUUUAUAAGCUUUCUUGUAUCAGAGAUCUUUUGAAAAUCCAACCAUUAAUUUGUAAAUACUUGUAUAGUGUAGCUGGCAUGAGGGUUGCAGUCUUCAUGAUUUACUAGUGGACAAGCAACAAGUGAUGGUGUGGCUCUGAGCCACUGUAGUAGGGAUGUUAUGGUUUAAGUGUAGGAAGUUGCAAAUGCUCACCUAACAAUUGCACCUUAGUAGAAAAACACAAACAGGAAGUUUAUGCAAGUUUUUAUCCUUAUAUAAAAUGUUGUAUUGCAUCAAACCUCCAUACAUUACUGUCUCUAUCCAGUAUGAGACCGGUGUUCAGGAAGCACAAGCAUGUGCUGAAUAACAAGAAGCCGGCAUUGGUGAAGGUGACAACAUUUCAUCUAUUUAUACAUACUUUUUAUUAUUAAAGCUUAUCUUAUAAUUAUUUCUGAAGAGAUUGACUAAUUUUUGUAGUAUUUAUGACUUAGAACUAUGAUAAAGCUAUGAAUUGAUAUAAUUCCUGAUU